rnacentral:rRNA from 1 species
CCUACGGGAGGCAGCAGUGGGGAAUAUUGCACAAUGGGGGAAACCCUGAUGCAGCGACGCCGCGUGAGUGAAGAAGUAUUUCGGUAUGUAAAGCUCUAUCAGCAGGAACGAGACAAGACGGUACCUGACUAAGAAGCCCCGGCUAACUACGUGCCAGCCGCCGCGGUAAUACGGAGGGGGCAAGCGUUAUCCGGAAUCACUGGGUGUAAGGGGAGCGUAGACGGCUGCGCAAGCCUGAGGUGAAAGGCGGCGGCCCAACCCCCGGACUGCUUUGGGAACUGUACGGCUGGAGUGCAGGAGAGGUGAGUGAAAUCCCUGGUGUAGCGGUGAAAGGCGUAGAUAUUAGGAGGAACACCAGUGGCGAAGGCGGCUUACUGGACUGUAACUGACGUUGAGGCUCGAAAGCGUGGGGAGCAAACAGGAUUAGAUACCCCGGUAGUC